AAUUUGCCUGGCGGCUUUAGCGCGGUGGUCCCACCUGACCCCAUGCCGAACUCAGAAGUGAAACGCCGUAGCGCCGAUGGUAGUGUGGGGUCUCCCCAUGUGAGAGUAGGGAACUGCCAGGCAU
rnacentral:rRNA from 1 species